rnacentral:lncRNA from 1 species
GACGCCCUGAGCGCGAGGCCCACGUCGGGUCGCGCCGCGGGCUGCGCGUUGGUCCGCCCAAGGCUGGGGCUGGCCGGGGAGAGCCAGUUUGGGUCGCAGCCCUCGAGAGCCUCGCGCUUCCUCGCUUUCCCGCCAGGCCCGCGGAUCCCGCUUCUCCCCGAGGGGAGGCCGAAGCUGGUGGGCCGCGCCCGGCCCCUGGGAGGGCCUCCCGCCCCAGGAGGAAGGACCCGCCUUCUUCUCUGGAAGACCCCAGGUGAAACAUAGAUCUGUUUCAUGUCACGUCAGCUGUCUGGUUUGCCCUUCUUCACCUCUUACCACCAACUGGAGCAAAUGGAAUGGAAUACAUUUGCAGGAAUGAGACUGACCCAUGAGGCCUACCUCUGUUGGCUCGUAACUGGAUUGUCUGAGUCACAAAUAGUAGAUCCUGGUUGUAUGAGAGGAAACUGUGGAGGACAGAAAGGAGAAAACUGAACAGUAAGUUGAUGUGGAGAAAGAGAAAGCACUGAACUUCAAAAAGGAUCUGGAGAUACGGCAUUUUUCUACCAUAGAAAGCUACUCGGCCAUAAAGAAGGAUAAUCAUGAGGCUCUUGCAAGGAAUAGAUGCAAUUUGUGAUCAUGCUUGUGGAUGAAAUCGUUUGGUCUCACAUAGGUGAGCAUCAUGUUAUCUCUCUAGUAUAAAAAACUGAAGGAGUUAGUGGGAUCCAAAUUGUAAAAUGGAUAUUAUGAAAGUGAAAGACUGAACAACUAUUUCUAAGAUGAGGAUACGUAAUCUAUUAACUAGUGAUUUCUUACUGUUUAUUUUUUAAAUUUUGUAUUACUUGUUCCCUUUUUCUGUUUUUUUCUUUUUCUCCUUAAAUUAAAAAAAAAAGAAAGUGAAAGAGGAAGAAAUGUCUAAAAGGGAAGGUGGUAGCCAUUGUUAAUUCCCUAUUAUUUUGUUUUAAAGUCCUGUAUCAUUUUCAUUGUUUUGUUUUGAUUGAUUUUAUUCUGUUUUGUUUGGUUUGAUUUUAAUUAUAGCUGAUGGCAUGGGCAGGUAUUUCAAAAAUAACAAUAUAUAUUAUGGUAGCCAUUGUUGAUGUCUUAUUAUCUUGUUUUGAAGUCUUGUGUCACUUUCACUGUUCUGUUUUGAUUGAUUUUAUUCUGUUCUGUUUUAUUUAAUUUUAUUAGGUCUGAUGGUAUAGGCAGCUGUUUUGAAGAUAACAGGAGGCAUUAUGUUGAUUUCCU